UUUGAAGAGAGAGUUCAAGAGUACGUGAAACCGUUCAGGGGUAAACCUGCGAAACUCGAAUGAACGAACGGAGAGAUUCAUCGUCAUUCCGCGGCGUACGGACGCGCGCUUCGAUGUCGUCGGCCUCGGCCGGCUGGCACGACGCGUGUCCGUCGACGUCCGUGGACGGCGUGCACUUCUCUCUUAGUAAUACAUCGCGACCCGUUCGAUGUCGGUCUAAGCGCCGUGCGGGAGCCCAUUUGUCGCUUCGGCGGCGAGUGGACCGCCGCGGUUGCCGACCGGCGUACGGACGGUAUUGAAAUUGAACCGCGCACGCGUUUACGCGCGUCCGGCCCGACGCAAGCGUUGGUCGUCGUCAGAGUCCUGCCCGAGUGCGGACUAGGGCGCGGCCGGCCUGUUGUCGCUGCCG
rnacentral:rRNA from 1 species